UACAGAGGUGGCGAGCGUUGUCCGGAUUGACUGGGCGUAAAGGGCGCGUAGGCGGCUUGGUAAGUCAACCGUAAAAUCUCCGGGCUUAACCCAGAGUUCGCGGUUGAAACUGCUUUGCUUGAGUAUAGGAGAGGAGAGUGGAAUUCCUGGUGUAGCGGUGGAAUGUGUAGAGAUCAGGAAGAACACCGGUGGCGAAGGCGGCUCUCUGGUCUAAUACUGACGCUAAUGCGCGAAAGCUAGGGGAG
rnacentral:rRNA from 1 species